AGUGAACGCUGGCGGCAGGCCUAACACAUGCAAGUCGAGCGGCAGCGCGUCCGACCACCCUCGGGUGGUCGGAUGGCGGCGAGCGGCGGACGGGUGAGGAAUGCAUCGGAAUCUGCCUCGUUGUGGGGGAUAACGUAGGGAAACUUACGCUAAUACCGCAUACGACCUACGGGUGAAAGUGGGGGACCUUCGGGCCUCACGCGAUGAGAUGAGCCGAUGCCGGAUUAGCUAGUUGGCGGGGUAAAGGCCCACCAAGGCGACGAUCCGUAGCUGGUCUGAGAGGAUGAUCAGCCACACUGGAACUGAGACACGGUCCAGACUCCUACGGGAGGCAGCAGUGGGGGAAUAUUGGACAAUGGGGGGCAACCCUGAUCCAGCCAUGCCGCGUGUGUGAAGAAGGCCUCGGUUGUAA
rnacentral:rRNA from 1 species